rnacentral:rRNA from 1 species
GGAAUCUUCCGCAAUGGACGCAAGUCUGACGGAGCAACGCCGCGUGAGUGAUGAAGGUUUUCGGAUCGUAAAGCUCUGUUGCCAGGGAAGAACGUCUGAUAGAGUAACUGCUAUCAGAGUGACGGUACCUGAGAAGAAAGCCCCGGCUAACUACGUGCCAGCAGCCGCGGUAAUACGUAGGGGGCAAGCGUUGUCCGGAAUUAUUGGGCGUAAAGCGCGCGCAGGCGGCUUUUUAAGUCCGGUGUCACAGCCCAAGGCUCAACCUUGGGUCGCACUGGAAACUGGAGAGCUUGAGUACAGAAGAGGAAAGUGGAAUUCCACGUGUAGCGGUGAAAUGCGUAGAGAUGUGGAGGAACACCAGUGGCGAAGGCGACUUUCUGGGCUGUAACUGACGCUGAGGCGCGAAAGCGUGGGGAGCAAACAGGAUUAGAUACCCUUG